GUAAUCAAAAGUUUAUUUAUUGUAAACCAGCAUGAAAGAAGCCACUGAUAGAAACUAUUUUUAUUCUAUUGAUGAAAUUAAAAGAAAUUAAAAAAUAUUUCUUUAGGGGUCAGACGAGAAGACCCUUGAAGCUUCCUAAAAUUAGUUAUUUGGGGAAAAUGAAAUUUAUUAACCAAUUGGUAAAAAAUAAAAGAACUAAAAAAUAAGCUACCUAAGGGAUAACAGAGCAAUUUUUAAUUAUAGAUCCUAUAGAAUUAAAAGAUUGUGACCUCGAUGUUGGAUUCCAGAUUCCUAGGGCCGCAGAAGGCUCUGAAGAAUAGACUGUUCGUUUUUUAAAUCAGG
rnacentral:rRNA from 1 species